GCGGUUGCUGAGCUGAAGACAGUAGGCUAGUAUCCAGCGAAUAAGAAGACUGCAUGUUAACUGUCUCGUGUGUAUUGAUCUGUACAGGAAUAAAUACGCAAACCAUCAGUUCGUGGCCGUUUC